UGAAUACGAGACGCUAAGGCGUCGAAGUAGUGUAUAUCAGACUUCCAAGAAAAGCUUGCACUGUCAUAGAUAAAAAAUGCCUGUACCAUAACCGACACAGGUGGGUAGGUAGAGUAUACUAAGGGGCGCGAGAUAACUCUCUCUAAGGAACUCGGCAAAAUAACUCCGUAACUUCGGGAGAAGGAGUGCCUUAUUUAUAAGGUUGCAAUAACAAGAUCCAAGCAACUGUUUAUCAAAAACACAGGUCUCCGCUAAGUCGUAAGACGAUGUAUGGAGGCUGACGCCUGCCCAGUGCCAGAAGGUUAAAGAAGUUGGUUAGCAAUUGCGAAGCUGAUAACUGAAGCCCUGGUGAACGGCGGCCGUAACUAUAACGGUCCUAAUGUAGCGAAAUUCCUUGUCGGGUAAGUUCCGACCCGCACGAAAGGCGUAAUGAUUUGGAUACUGUCUCGGAGAGGGGCUCGGUGAAAUAGACUUGUCUGUGAAGAUGCGGACUACCUGCACCAGGACAGAAAGACCCUAUGAAGCUUUACUGUAACUUGAAAUUGAAAUUGGACUUUAUUCGCCAGCAUAGGUGGGAGGCGUUGAUUAUAAUCUUGCGGGAUUAUUGGAGCCAUCAGUGAGAUACCACUCUUGUAAUGUUAGAUUUCUAACUUUGAAUCAUUAUCUGGUCAAAGAACAGUUUCAGGCGCAGUUUGACUGGGGCGGUCGCCUCCUAAAUGGUAACGGAGGCGUACAAAGGUUUCCUCUGAACGGUUAGAAAUCGUAUCUAGAGUGUAAAGGCAUAAGGAAGCUUGACUGUGAAACCUACAAGUCGAGCAGGGACGAAAGUCGGUCUUAGUGAUCUGACGGUACUGAGUGGAAAGGCCGUCACUCAACGGAUAAAAGUUACUCUAAGGAUAACAGGCUGAUCUCCCCCAAGAGUUCACAUCGACGGGGAGGUUUGGCACCUCGAUGUCGGCUCAUCGCAUCCUGGGGCGGUAGUACGUCCCAAGGGUUGGGCUGUUCGCCCAUGAAAGCGGUACGCGAGCUGGGUUCAGAACGUCGUGAGACAGUUCGGUCCAUAUCCGGUGUAGGCGUUAGAAUAUUGAGAGGAGCCUUCUUUAGUACGAGAGGACCGAGAAGGACAUACCUCUGGUGUACCAGUUAUCGUGCCAACGGUAAACGCUGGGUAGCUAUGUAUGGAGUGGAUAACCGCUGAAAGCAUCUAAGUGGGAAGCCCACCUC
rnacentral:rRNA from 1 species